CUGGAGUUGGGGAGCAUGACCCCAUUCUCAAGAAGGGGGAGAGGAGCAUAAGGAAGCCACUUCUUAGAAGUGAGGCAAAGUUAGAGCAGGACUAGCAGUAAGACCUGUUUGCUGUGGGGCCUCUGGGCUGCUUGGCUAGUCUCUUGUUUUGCUGGACCAAGAGAGAGAGGCCCAGAGGCUCUGAUGAGGUGGAAUCGGUCAGGGAGGCUAAAGGGCCCCAGUUGCCAAGGCUGAUCUGAAAUGGGUAGGGGGCUAAGCUCACCCAAACAUCAACAGAUAAAUAUUCUCUUCUUAGCUUUCAUCACAUUCUACAUGCAUUGGCCUCAGGAAAUACCCACCCACCCACCCACACAGAGCUCUUGAACUCAAAGAAGCUGUGCUCUCAGGGAAGUGCAAAUAUAUGCUUAUAGCUGUGAAAAUAGAGCUUUGCUAUUUAUGAAAGUCCUUGAGGUACUGUUGUUAUUUACUUAUCCUACUUGAUUUUGAAAAAGAGAAAUACUCAGUAAAAUUUUCAAAGUGGGUAAACACCACUGGAAUUUCUUAUGUAAAGUCCUAACUUGGGGUUGCAAAAGCCUUUUUCUCCUUAGUAUCUGAUCUGGGUGUUGUAUGAGAUCUCCUCAUUUGAGGAGUCAACUUUCAUGGAAAUCUGUAAAUAUCUCAAACAUGGCUACUACAAAACUAAUUUUUACAGGUCAGGUUUUCAUAUUUUUAGAUAAAAAUAUUAACAAAAUCCUUAGUUAACCAAAUCCUUCAAGCAUUUUGGUUACAUGAAGUUGUAUUUUUUUUAAGUGAUCAAACCAAAGAUACCAUUUAUGGGUAAAAAUCAAAUAAAGUUUUUAUUUAUUCAGUAUGUAUGGAGUAUGAAUGGAG
rnacentral:lncRNA from 1 species